UGUAGUUUUUAUGUAUGGACAUUUAUUUAGUGCUAAGACAUGGUUAGAAAGUGUGUAAUUUGUAAAGUUUUAUUUAAAAAAUGAGAGCAGCGGACUUUUCACAGAUUUCCUAAGAAUUUGGAACGGAGAAACUUGUGGAAGCUCUCCCUAGGUGAUGUCAAUAUUGUCGACAACAUUUUUGUUUGUUCUGAUCAUUUUGUGAUUAAUGAUUUUCUGACAAAGCCAUCAGGUAUAAAGUACUUGCUAGAGACAGCUAUUCCAAUAAUAGGUUCUACUUAUAGCAGAUCAAACAGUUCUAAUAAGGAAAAUAUUUAUCAAUGAUGUUCCUACUGGACAGUCACUGCACUUGCCGCAACAAAAACCAGAAAAUAUAUCCACAUGUUCAUCGUCAUCGACAUUGAGUGCUCAAUCAGGCUUGUUAUUUACUACAAAUAAGGCUGCAGAUCUUUCUGAAAUAUAUUUUUAAUUUGAUGACACAUCACGAAAACAUAGAUCAACAUUAACUGCAUCAGAAAUAGGAAUGGAUUCACCCAAUCGUAAUAAAAUUAUAAACGUGAAGUCAUUUAUUUACACUCAUCAUAGUGUUUGGCUUCGGAUUCUUACCCGUUACGUACUUACUAUCAAACUUAUUUCAACAUCCUACAUCAGGAUACAUAAAUUUGAUAGCAAUUAAUUUAAUGACAGGACCAAUAGCCGAAUAUGUUAUUCAAUCUGUAGCACUUUCAAUGGAGAGGUUAGGAAAUAUUUUUCAGGGGAUUUUUC